rnacentral:rRNA from 1 species
GGUCAAGCUAAGAAGGGCGCAGGGCGAAUGCCUUGGCACCAGGAGACGAUGAAGGACGCGAUAAGCUGCGAAAAGCCGCGGGGAGCUGCAAAUAAGUAUUGAUCCGCGGAUGUCCGAAUGGGGCAACCCACCUAGAGUCAUGUCUAGGUAUCCUGUACUGAAUACAUAGGUGCAGGAGGUGAACCGCCUGAACUGAAACAUCUAAGUAGGGCGAGGAAGAG